rnacentral:rRNA from 2 species
GCCGGCGAUGGUUCAUUCAAAUUUCUUCCCUAUCAACUUUCGAUGUUUGGGUAGUGGCCAAACAUGGUUGCAACGGGUAACGGAGGGUUAGGGCUCGACCCCGGAGAAGGAGCCUGAGAAACGGCUACUACAUCCAAGGAAGGCAGCAGGCGCGCAAAUUACCCAAUCCCGACACGGGGAGGUAGUGACAAUAAAUACUGAUACAGGGCUCUUUCGGGUCUUGUAAUUGGAAUGAGUACAAUUUAAAUCCCUUAACGAGGAACAAUUGGAGGGCAAGUCUGGUGCCAGCAGCCGCGGUAAUUCCAGCUCCAAUAGCGUAUAUUAAAGUUGUUGUGGUUAAAAAGCUCGUAGUUGAACCUUGGGCCUGGCUGGCCGGUCCGCCUCACCGCGUGUACUGGUCCGGCCGGGCCUUUCCCUCUGUGGAACCCCAUGCCCUUCACUGGGCGUGGCGGGGAAACAGGACUUUUACUUUGAAAAAAUUAGAGUGCUCCAGGCAGGCCUAUGCUCGAAUACAUUAGCAUGGAAUAAUAGAAUAGGACGUGCGGUUCUAUUUUGUUGGUUUCUAGGACCGCCGUAAUGAUUAAUAGGGACAGUCGGGGGCAUCAGUAUUCAAUUGUCAGAGGUGAAAUUCUUGGAUCUAUUGAAGACUAACUACUGCGAAAGCAUUUGCCAAGGAUGUUUUCAUUAAUCAGGAACGAAAGUUAGGGGAUCGAAGACGAUCAGAUACCGUCGUAGUCUUAACCAUAAACUAUGCCGACUAGGGAUCGGGCGAUGUUAUUUUUUGACUCGCUCGGCACCUUAC